UACGUAGGGUGCAAGCGUUAAUCGGAAUUACUGGGCGUAAAGCGUGCGCAGGCGGCUUUGCAAGACAGAUGUGAAAUCCCCGGGCUUAACCUGGGAACUGCAUUUGUGACUGCAAGGCUAGAGUACGGUAGAGGGGGAUGGAAUUCCGCGUGUAGCAGUGAAAUGCGUAGAUAUGCGGAGGAACACCGAUGGCGAAGGCAAUCCCCUGGACCUGUACUGACGCUCAUGCACGAAAGCGUGGGGAGCGAACAGG
rnacentral:rRNA from 1 species